GACGAACGCUGGCGGCGUGCCUAAUACAUGCCAGUAGAACGCUGAAGGAGGAGCUUGCUUCUCCGGAUGAGUUGCGAACGGGUGAGUAACGCGUAGGUAACCUGCCUGGUAGCGGGGGAUAACUAUUGGAAACGAUAGCUAAUACCGCAUAACAGUAGAUGUUGCAUGACAUUUGCUUAAAAGGUGCAAUUGCAUCACUACCAGAUGGACCUGCGUUGUAUUAGCUAGUUGGUGAGGUAACGGCUCACCAAGGCGACGAUACAUAGCCGACCUGAGAGGGUGAUCGGCCACACUGGGACUGAGACACGGCCCAGACUCCUACGGGAGGCAGCAGUAGGGAAUCUUCGGCAAUGGACGGAAGUCUGACCGAGCAACGCCGCGUGAGUGAAGAAGGGUUUCGGAUCGUAAAGCUCUGUUGUAAGAGAAGAACGAGUGUGAGAGUGGAAAGUUCACACUGUGACGGUAUCUUACCAGAAAGGGACGGCUAACUACGUG
rnacentral:rRNA from 1 species